rnacentral:rRNA from 1 species
UUCGGCGGCCAUAGCGAGAGGGUCACACCUCUUCCCAUUCCGAACAGAGAAGUUAAGCCUCUCAGCGCCGAUGGUACUUGGCCCGCGAGGGCCUGGGAGAGUAGGUCGCCGCCGUCU